UACAGGGGGUGCAAACGUUGCUCGGAAUCAUUGGGCGUAAAGCGCACGUAGGCGGCUUUUAAGUCAGGGGUGAAAUCCUGGAGCUCAACUCCAGAACUGCCUUUGAUACUGAGAAGCUUGAGUCCGGGAGAGGUGAGUGGAACUGCGAGUGUAGAGGUGAAAUUCGUAGAUAUUCGCAAGAACACCAGUGGCGAAGGCGGCUCACUGGCCCGGUACUGACGCUGAGGUGCGAAAGCGUGGGGAGCGAACAGG
rnacentral:rRNA from 1 species